GUGAAAGUUCUGCUGGAGAGGGAGGCACGAUAGACGCCAGGACUAAGGACGGUCUGACCCCUCUCCACUGUGGCGCCAGGAGCGGACAUGAACAGGUGCUGGAGAUGCUGCUAGACAGAGGAGCUCCCAUCCUGUCCAAAACUAAGAACGGUCUGUCUCCCCUCCACAUGGCCACCCAGGGGACC